rnacentral:lncRNA from 1 species
AAGACAUGUCAAUCUGCUCAUGUAAAUCUUCCACUCAGUAACCUUUUGUGUGCAGCAUUUAUUGAGGCUGAUGGCAAAAAUUGAAACCAACAUCAUGGUAUUCUGAAGACCAGAGAUAUGAAUCUCCCUCAUUUGACAUCCUACUGGGCCUGAAUCUGUUUCACUGCUAAAGCUCUGCUGCCAAACCUAUACAAGCUGCCUCCCUCUAGGCCCAGGGGCUAUCAUGGAAGAGAUUGCCGGAGGCCAGAAAGUAAGACAAAUAACAGCUCACCUGCCUGGCUUGUUGGAGCAACAAGAAAC